CAAUAGCGUAUAUUAAAGUUGUUGCAGUUAAAACGCUCGUAGUUGAACAUCUGCCCUUUUCCGGUUAGGUCCGCUCUGCGUGCACCUUCCGAAAUCGGCAUCCGUCUGCGUUGCUUCGCAUUGCAGACCGUUCACUUUGAGGAAAUUAGAGUGUUCAAAGCAGGCUUACGCCUUGAAUACUUCAGCAUGGAAUGAUUGAUAGGACUUCUAUCCUAUCUUGGUUCUAGGGACAGAAGUAAUGGUAAACAGGGUUGGUUGGGGGCAUUCGUACUGAACAGUCAGAGGUGAAACUCUUAGAUUUGUUCAAGACGAACAACUGCGAAAGCAUUUGCCAAGGACGACCCCAUUAA
rnacentral:rRNA from 1 species